rnacentral:rRNA from 1 species
UACGUAGGGGGCUAGCGUUGUCCGGAAUCAUUGGGCGUAAAGCGCGUGUAGGCGGCCCGGUAAGUCCGCUGUGAAAGUCCAGGGCUCAACCCUGGGAUGCCGGUGGAUACUGUCGGGCUCGAGUCCGGAAGAGGCGAGUGGAAUUCCUGGUGUAGCGGUGAAAUGCGCAGAUAUCAGGAGGAACACCGGUGGCGAAGGCGGAUCUCUGGGCCUUGCCUGACGCUGAGGCGCGAAAGCUAGGGGAGCGAACAGG